UGGGGAAUAUUGGACAAUGGGCGAAAGCCUGAUCCAGCGACGCCGCGUGAGUGAUGAAGGCCUUCGGGUUGUAAAGCUCUGUUGAGGGAGAAGAAAACAGUUAGAACUAAUAUGUCUAGCUCUUGACGGUAUCCCUUUAGAAAGCACCGGCUAACUCUGUGCCAGCAGCCGCGGUAAGACAGAGGGUGCAAACGUUGUUCGGAAUUACUGGGCGUAAAGCGCGUGUAGGCGGCCCUGCAAGUCGGGUGUGAAAUCCCACGGCUCAACCGUGGAAGUGCACUCGAAACUGCAGGGCUAGAGUCCUGGAGAGGAAGGUGGAAUGCUUGGUGUAGAGGUGAAAUUCGUAGAUAUCAAGCGGAACGCCGGUGGCGAAGGCGGCCUUCUGGACAGUGACUGACGCUGAGACGCGAAAGCGUGGGGAGCAAA
rnacentral:rRNA from 1 species